GAUCAUGGCUCAGGAUGAACGCUAGCGACAGGCUUAACACAUGCAAGUCGAGGGGCAUUAUGAGGUAGCAAUACCUUGAUGGCGACCGGCGCACGGGUGAGUAACGCGUAUGCAACCUGCCCGAUACCGGGGUAUAGCCCAUGGAAACGUGGAUUAACACCCCAUAGUACUUUUAUCCUGCAUGGGAUGGGAGUUAAAUGUUCAAGGUAUCGGAUGGGCAUGCGUCCUAUUAGUUAGUUGG
rnacentral:rRNA from 1 species